UUUUAUGGAUGAUAAAAGAAAGUGGCUCCUUGAGAUGGAAUCUACUCCUGGUGAAGAUGCUGUGAA
rnacentral:pre_miRNA from 1 species